AGAGUUCGCAGGUCUGGGGCUCUCUUCCCAGAGAGCUCGUAGGGGAGGACAGUCAAGGGACUCAAGCGUCUCUCUUGACUCCCCUUCUCUCGCUGUGCAGUGGCGGCGCCGAGGGGUCGACGCUCAGGGCUAAUCUCUAUGAGUCACCCUCGAGGCCCCGGGUAAUGUAAGUAAAAUCGGGGUGCAGGAACAAAACAAGUCCCCUUGCUCCGGCUUUCAACUCAUUGGCCCCCGCUCAGCAACUACCUGCAUUGAAAUUCCAACCCCAGUUGCAGGAGCGGUGUUAGUCUCAACCAAUACUGGAGAUGGGAGCCUCUCUUUCCAGGAUUGGACGGACCUCCGAUUCCCUAGCACGGUGGAUCUCAGACUAAAGCGUGUGUCUCUGGAGGGCUUGAGAAAACACUGAUAGACCCCA
ensembl:lncRNA EIF1B-AS1 EIF1B antisense RNA 1